UGUUAAAUAAAGCCUAUGAGAAAGUUUUCACAUCCUGCGAGAUGAACUGUUUGUGUGAUGGCUGUGAUUAAAAAUGGAAAUGGAUUCUCUGCCAAAAAAAACUACCCUUCUUUGUGUGAAACCCACAAAGGCCCACUUUCAGUCUGGUUUUAUGGAUUUUUCUCUCUCCCCAAGUAAUUCCUCAGCAUCCCCUUGGAUGGCAUCUACGGUGCUGUGUGACAGAUCCACACAAACAACAGAGGGGAAAGAGCCUCACUUAACUGAUUAGAGGA